GAUGAACGCUGGCGGCGUGCUUAACACAUGCAAGUCGAACGGUGAAGCCAAGCUUGCUUGGUGGAUCAGUGGCGAACGGGUGAGUAACACGUGAGCAAUCUGCCCUUGACUCUGGGAUAAGCGCUGGAAGCGGCGUCUAAUACUGGAUAUGAGCUGUGGCCGCAUGGUCGGCAGUUGGAAAGAAUUUCGGUCAAGGAUGAGCUCGCGGCGUAUCAGCUUGUUGGUGAGGUAAUGGCUCACCAAGGCGACGACGGGUAGCCGGCCUGAAAGGGUGACCGGCCACAAUGGCACUGAGACACGGGCGAUACUCCUACGGGAGGCAGCAGUGAGGAAUUUUGGACAAUGGGGGAAACCCUGAUCCAGCGACGCCGCGUGAAGGAUGAAGGUCUUCGGAUUGUAAACUUCUUUUGGUGGGGAAGAAUUGCCCGUAAGGGAGUUGACUGUACCCACAGAAAAAGCCACGGCUAACUACGUGCCAGCCGCCGCGGUAA
rnacentral:rRNA from 1 species